UCGACUUUCCUACGCUAGCGCACUCUCUCUCACUCCUUCCACAAUCUUCUGGUUCCUUCCUUUCUCCCUUUAUCCCCCCAUUUUUUGAUCUCCCCUCUCCCAAAACUCUCUUCCCUUUGUUUCGUCUUCAAAACAUUCAAAUCCACGGUGUCGGAUCAAGAAACUGAAUUGGAAGCUUGUGCAUAUAAGCAUUGGGCUAGUUUUCAUGCUUUGCUGGCCAUUAUUCAGGAUUUUGCUUUGCUAUAUGCCCGUCGAGAGAGGAGACCGAUAAGGUGAGUUGCUGCAACUGUCACAGUAAGAAGACUUUGCCUGGGG